CUGCUGGACGGACAGCAGAGCUGCGCUGAGACGCCGUGUUCUGACCCGGUUUUAGGAAACGUAUCGCUGUUUUUGGUCCCGUCAGGUUCCGGUAGAUCCUCGCCGAUUCUCCAGACGACGUCAUCCACAUCAGUCACAUGACCCACAGCACCUUCCAGGUGGGAACGGGCCUGUGGAUCCCGACAAAACCGGGUCAGGAUCGGGUUUGUGUGGUGGUGAUGGAGGCGGUUUGUUCCUGUGUUCAUGCAGAUGAUGAUGAUGAUGAGCUGUUUGUGCUGCGGAGGAACUGAAGGGCUGCAGAUCGCUCCGUCUGGAGCCAUGAAGCUCCACGGUCUGCAGCGAUGCUGCGAGGCGAUGCUGUGAGUGUGUACCGGGUCGCCAUGGUACCGAAACACAAGUCCAACCCUCCAGAACCGCAGCAGAAUGUUCUGAAGCUGACUGGAUGAAGCUUUGAUCUUCUGCUCAAAACCAAAGAGGCGUUUUUAUUUCUGGACCUCAGUGAAACGUGUUCUCUCUGAACCAGUUCCUAUGGAUUCGGUUCUGGUUCUCCCUGCGUCUCUGCAGCGUCACACAGCGGCUGAGCUCUGCCGGUUCUGUGAGGGAUUCUUCCUGCAGAAUCUGGACCGGCUGCUGGACAGAGAGGACUUCCACCGGCUGUUGCUAGGCGACACCAGUAAGGGAGGGCCGUCUGGGUCGGGACGGGACCAGAACCCGGACCUCCUGCCGGUUCUGAGGAGCCUGGAAGCGGCGCUGAUCCACAGACUUUCUGAGCUGCAUGUUGCAUGUAGAGGGCAGAAGUUCUGACCGGAUGGACCGGAUCGUCUCUGGUUGGUACCACAAACAAACAUCUGGUUCUACUUUUCACAUCUGCAUUUCAUCUGAAGCAGGUUCUGAUCGGUAAAAUAUCUACAACAUAAAACCCGGUUAAACCUCCAACCGUCCUCUAAUGACUCUCUACUGUUACAGUAAAGUUUCCUUCUGCUUAUUACGUCUAAACAUUUUAAUUCACACCUUUAUUUUUCAUUCAAGCUGCUCCUUUUCCAUGUUCAUGAAUGGAAAAGUUGCAGCUGCAACGAUUUUGCACCAGUUUGAAUUUAUUGCUGUUUGGUAUUUUAAAUAAUCUGAAUUAUCAUCAUGGUUCAUGAAAGAUGACCCAGCUGGUUAUUAGGUUUACUUUUACACAAAGCGCAGAUUAAUAAACUACUACAUAAUAUUAACACUUUAAAUGUUGGGAUCAAUCACAUCGUUAACAAUCCCAGUUAUUAGAAAUAAUUUCCCAUCGUGCCGUUUUCACUCACUCAGUUAAAACUGAAUAUUUCUGAAUAAAUAAACUACAUGAAGUAUGAAACCUGCCAAAGUCAACAGAUUUAUUCCUUUAGCACUGAAUUUGUUCACAGUAACAUCACAAGGGAAUACAUUGCCAGUGGUUCUCCUGCUCCGAGUCCGUUCAGUGUGCUCUGGAUUCCCGCGGUAGAAAAAGCGAAGGAUGGAAGGUAUUGCUUUAGGUUUCCUCUGAACCGAGUCCGUCUCCGAGAAACAUGAGUGAUUAGGAUGCAAGUUUACUGUGUGCUUACAGUAAUCAGAUAUAAAGGGGAGGAAGGAAGAGGCUGGCAAAAGAAUGAAUUAAUAUCAAAAAUAACAAAUCUGAAGGUAAAAUUAAUGAGAAAGCUCAGAUAAAAAAAUGCAUAAAAACCUAGACACAAAAAGGGAACGGGUGAACAUUUCAACAGCGACAUGCAAAGAAAAGACGAAUGCUGAACAUGCAAACAACCGUACGAGGUCAAAGGUCAAAGCUAAGAUCAGGAAUCCCCCUGGUUUUUUAAAUAAGCUCGUCAGGAAAACUGCUUCUUUACACGAUGAAUGUUUGAGUCUUCAUUCGCCCAACAGAUGGGGUUUCCUCCCAAAGAGGCUAAAUCUACAUUCUUAAAUACAACAAAUCAGUUUCAAACAUAUAUUACAAAGUUUCUCUCCUCAAAAAAACAACAAGAAAAACAAACAGGGAAAAGAAAAAAUAAAUUAAAAAUGACAAAAAUAUCUUUAAAUAAUCAAUUUCAGGAACAUUCUCUACAUCUUUGAUAUAAAUAACU